rnacentral:lncRNA from 1 species
UAAACAUUACAAUUGCAGAAAAAGAUUAAAAAAAAAGAAACAAAUACAUAAACUGCAUCAUGACAUAACUACACCAGACCAUAACAACACUAAAUUAUCUUGAAAACUAACACUAACACAAAGCCAAUCCAAGAUAAAACAAUAAACAACUUCAUAUUUUGUAGUUGAGCCUUCAUCCUAGCAACCUUCUGUAAUUUUGUUGAAUUUAUUCCCUCGACCACUUCCAUUAUUUUCAGAUUUUUAGUCUUUCAGCAGAAACAUCAACUUCCAGGUUAGCCACCAUCUUCUUCAGAUAAUUUCUUUCAACUUCAACCGAUUUCAGUAAAGUAUUCAAGUUAUGGAUUAGCAUCGUCACAUGUGGUGGCAUCUCUUCAUCACGUCAUUCCCACAAACCACAGAAAGAGGUCUCGUCAAAACGAGGACAUUUGUAGAAUCGACGACCACCCUUCAAUUGAG